CGCGCCCGGGGCCCACCGCACCAGUGCCAGUUGUUCACGUUGGUCCCGUCCUCCCGCUCCUCCACGAUCCAGCGCGGGUCCCCCUGGCCCCACUUGGCCAUGGCGGCGCUGACGACGACGGCCCUGGUAGCGGGAGCGCGCGGGUUUCCGGCCAGAAGGGAUCCUCUAGAGACAAAAGAUCGUGCUUGCAAGUGCCUGGGAUUGUGGAUACAGUUACAAUAAGGGUUUAUUAAUUCUUUCCAUCGUUUUUCACCUUCUAGCAAAAACUGAAGCCACCAUCUGGAAAGUGUUUCUUAGGAGAUUAUUUUAACAAAUAAAAUAGGUAGUUCAAUGGGAGAUGGGGAAGGACCUGGCUGCUCUGUGCACUUGCCAUUCAGUGGUCUGCUUAUCAGCAAAACAAGCUGAAAGGGCUAUGGUGUUUAUUGGAGCUAUUGCAUUUCGAUGUGUUCUUCGAGAAGUUACAUCAUUCAAACUGCUGAAGCAAUGCUGUGACCCCCCCCCCCAAAUCAAACGGCAUUGUUAGUUCAACUGAUCAUACCAAAGGCACAGCUGACAGAAGGCAAGACUCUAGCGAUGAUUGGCGUGUACUUUGUGUGCCUACUUUUCAUCCAGUUCUUCUGUUUGCUCCUGAUAAAACAUUUCAUGAUAAGAUUUAGAUAUGUUCAUUUGAACCUGACAGAAAAUAAGACUUCUGAGGGUAGAAGCUGCUACAAUCACUAAAAUGUAUAAAUACCAAAAUAUACAAGAACUACUCCCAGUAGAAAUAAAUUUACUGGAAUGUAACUCGAUUGUGAGUCUAGGAGACCAAUGGACCCUGAAGCACUCUUCAGAUCUGCGAUUUAAAAAUGACCUCCAAUAAGACAUUGCAAAAAUGGGAAAGAAACAAUGGAAAAAGAAUGAUAAAACAAUGGAAAAAGAAAAUCCUUGCCUGGCAGUGAGUCUGAAGACAGCUGAUCAAAGGGGAAGAAGUCCAGCCACAGAUGGAAGAGAGAUGACCUGGACAGUGGGCUGCAGUGGGAAGGAAGCCAUGAUUUCAGGACAUGAAAAGUGGAGUCACACGAGGCUCACUGGGUGCUGGUGGGAGGCAGAGGGGUGUACCCUUAAACUGUAAUUGUUUGGUGUAAACAGACUGAAUUUGUGUCCUUCUCCAAAACAUGGGCUUGAUAAUUGU
rnacentral:lncRNA from 1 species